CAGCGGGCAAUGCGCGGGGCCCGCCGGGAGAUGGAGUCCCGAGCUCGCGCGAAGCCUGCUGGGAGCUGUAUGCUACCCGGACCAAGGGUGGAAUGUCACUCCUUGGGCGUUGGCCUCAAUUGUUUAUAGCGACGGUCAGAGUGGCAGAAAGAGGCUCUGUGCGUCGCUUCUGCGUGUCGGAUUGACCGGAGGCCUCAGGAUCAAUGGCCACGCCCAGUCCGCGCUCCCCACCAGGGGGCACCACUCCCGGCCUCCUCCGCUCUGUUGGACUUGAUCAGGAGAUUGGGACAAAAAUUCUUCAGUAACAAGAGACAUUUAGUAUUCGUAGUGCUUCCGUGACUCAAAGUGAGCCCAUCAAAAGUGGUUCUCGGGCCAGGGAUUUAACUUAGUGGUUCCGCCGCCUGCCUCACAAGCGCGAGGUCCCGAGUUAGAUCCCCGGUACGAAAAAAAAUAAAAAGUGGUUACUGAGCCAGAUGUGGUGAUGCACGCCUGUAAGCCCAGCUCUGGGAAGCUGAGGCAGGAGAAUCCCAAGUUCGAGCCCAUCCUGGGCAAUUUAGGGACUUAGUAAACCCUGUCUUGAGGGUGUCUUGUUUUUUUUGUUCUGUUUUGUUUUUGGUUUUGGUACCGGGGAUCGAACUUGGGAACUUGAGCUUGCGAGGCAGAUGGCGGAACCACUGAGCUAAACCCUGGCCCUAUCUUUUUGGGGGGUACCAGGGAUUGAACUCGGGGUUCUUGAGCUUGCACAGCAGGAGGCGAAACCACUGAGGGCCUCUAAGUCGCCAAAUUGCACCAGCCCAGAUUUGCAGUCCUCCUGUCUCAGCCUCCCACAGUACUGGGAUUACAGAGCUUUGCUGCAUAUUGGGACAUAAAUACAGCUUCCUGCCCUUCUGAGAAGAUAGAGUCUAAUUGGAAAAACAAAAUAAUUACACAGGAAAGGAGGAGAGUGAGAUUCCCUAUGGAUAAUGUAAGACAGAGAUCAAACAUGCUGUAAAACAAGACAAAAACCAGGCAGGUGGAAUGGGGGUAAAGGGGAGGCAUCAUACAGAGGUAGCAAGAAGCAUAGGCCUCCCUGAAAGCAAGGGAGGAUGAGAUGAAGUCUGUAAUUAGAAGGGCGUGGGAAUACCAAGACUGUGGUGGUAAAGAAGAAACCUCACACUGUAUGCUUUUUAAAAAAGCCUUUCCCUGUCGCUAGUCUCUUGGAUCUUUGUACAUCCAACCAUGCCCUCUUGGCUAGCUAACAUCUGUUUCUAACCUGCUUCCUCUAGCCUGGCAUCCUGCUCCAGCCCACUCCCUUCUGCUACGGCCUUUGAAUUUAAAUCUCAUAUCACACCACAGCCUAAAAACCAGGAUAGCCAGGGAUAUAGCUCAAAAAAAAAAAAAUCUGGAAAACUAGGCUGGUCCUGAACAGUCCUCCUACUCACUCUGUGACAUCCAGGUGCUUCUAGAACUAGGAAUGACUAGGCCGGGGAUUUAGCUCAGUGGUUCUGGUGCCUGCCUCUCAAGCGCAAGGUCCCAAGUUCGAUCCCCGGUACCAAAAAGAAGAAAUAGGAAUGACUGCCCCUCGCCAAGCCUCAUGUCUCCUCCUGUAUUCUAGGCCUUGCUGGGCAUGGUGGUAUACACCUAUAAUACCAGCACUCAGGAGGCUGAAGCAGGAGGAUCACAAGUUCAAACCCAACCUUGGCAGUUUAAUGAGGGAGACUCUGUCUCAAAAUUUAAAAUAAAAAAGGGCUGAGGAUGUAGCUCAGUGCCAAGGCUCUAGGUUCAGUCCUCAGUACUGAAAAAGAAAGAGGAAAGAAAAAAAAAGCCAGGUGUCUUAGUUACUCCCCUCAUUGCUGUGACAAAAUACCCAAUACCCACAAUGUAAAGGAGGAGGGCCAGGGAUUUAGCUCAGUGGUUUCGAUGCCCGCUGCGCAAGCGCAAGGACCCCAGUUCGAUCCCUGGUACCAAAAAAAAAAAAAAGGGUAAUAAAGGAGGAGAGGGGUUUUUUUGGGGGGGGGGGUGUUUU
ensembl:lncRNA